CUACAGCCAUACCACCCCGAACGCGCCCGAUCUCAUCUGAUCUCGGAAGAAAUACCAUCCUGGGAGAUGGAAGUUGUAGUGA
ensembl:rRNA 5S_rRNA 5S ribosomal RNA